rnacentral:lncRNA from 1 species
UUCAUUAUACGUAAAGGCAUCCCAUUGCAUAAAUAUAACGCAGAAAGACAACUUCUCCGCUGAAAAUGAAAUGCAUUCUCGCAUAUUCCCAAGGUUAUAUCCUGGAGUCACAAAGCUUUUAUUCUGAGACGCCAUGUGAUAAUUUUUCACCUAAUUGAUUGGUAGUACUGUAGAUAGUUUACAGGUGUUUCUAUAGAAAAUAUAUCAAUAAAUCUUUCAGCAGUUUCUAAUAGUGGUUUCUCUAUACCGAUUUCUCUUUGUUUCAGAUUACUUUGACUACGGCCCUGUAGGAUGUCCGUUUCCAGUUGCUGAGAAUAAAAGUGGAUUCGGAACGCCGAUUGCGUGCACCCAGGACUGCAACAAUGGUACUGAGACUGCACCCAACGGCACACGCUGCUUUACAAUUGGAGAAGAUGGAUUCGGGCGGAUGGUGCCCGAUUACCCAUACGCAUGCCCGCUCGGAGAAUGCCAGAAUGGGACUUGCGUUCCAAACGGAAUGAACGAUACCUGCUACAAAAGAGCUUUGAAGGAAUAAAACUUCAUCUAUAUGUUG